AAGUCGUAACAAGGUUUCCGUAGGUGAACCUGCGGAAGGAUCAUUAACACAAGUAAAAAAAAAACAUUUUACAACACCCUAUUAUGAAUUUAAAUUUUUUAAUUUUAAUUUUUUUAUAAAACUACAAAAAAAAUAUUUAAUUUAUUUGACUAACAUUUUUUAAUUAAUUUAUUUAAAAUUUUAUAAAACAACUCUUAACAACGGAUAUCUUGGCUCUC
rnacentral:misc_RNA from 1 species